rnacentral:rRNA from 1 species
CAUUAUCGAGUUUUUUUCUGUUAAUUCGGAAAACUCCCACCCUUGUGUAUUUUCGCUGAAAAGCAGCUUCGGCGGGCCGUCAGACCUUAGCGAUAGGGUCUUGACAUCGGCUCUGUGCGGAUUUGUGUCCGUCGAAGAACCAACUCUUUACAAUUUUGAAGUCUGAUAAACAAAGAAAAUAAAUCAAAACUUUCAACAACGGAUCUCUUGGUUCUGGCAUCGAUGAAGAACGCAGCGAAAUGCGAUAAGUAAUGUGAAUUGCAGAAUUCAGCGAAUCAUCGAAUCUUUGAACGCACAUUGCGCCUCCGGGUAUUCCUGGAGGCAUGCCUGUUCGAGCGUCGUUAAAGACCAUAAGGCUUUGCCUUGCGAUGAGCUUCUGGCAGUCUCUCCGGAGAAGCCAGUUGCUUCAAACUGAUUGGCGUCUGAAGUUAGCCCAAGCACAGCAAAAUGUGUUCUGAGUCUGGCGAACGAUUGCCCGUACCCAAAUCAUUUAUUG